GACGAACGCUGGCGGCGUGCUUAACACAUGCAAGUCGAACGGAAAGGCCCUGCUUUUGUGGGGUGCUCGAGUGGCGAACGGGUGAGUAACACGUGAGUAACCUGCCCUUGACUUUGGGAUAACUUCAGGAAACUGGGGCUAAUACCGGAUAGGAGCUCCUGCUGCAUGGUGGGGGUUGGAAAGUUUCGGCGGUUGGGGAUGGACUCGCGGCUUAUCAGCUUGUUGGUGGGGUAGUGGCUUACCAAGGCUUUGACGGGUAGCCGGCCUGAGAGGGUGACCGGCCACAUUGGGACUGAGAUACGGCCCAGACUCCUACGGGCGGCAGCAGUGGGGAAUAUUGCACAGUGGGCGGAAGCCUGAUGCAGCAACGCCGCGUGCGGGAUGACGGCCUUCGGGUUGUAAACCUCUUUCGCCUGUGACGAAGCGUGAGUGACGGUAAUGGGUAAAGAAGCACCGGCUAACUACGUG
rnacentral:rRNA from 1 species